rnacentral:rRNA from 1 species
UGUUUCGGCUAGGGGGCCAUCCCGGCUUACCAACCCGAUGCAAACUGCGAAUACCGGAGAAUGUUAUCACGGGAGACACACGGCGGGUGCUAACGUCCGUCGUGAAGAGGGAAACAACCCAGACCGCCAGCUAAGGUCCCAAAGUCAUGGUUAAGUGGGAAACGAUGUGGGAAGGCCCAGACAGCCAGGAUGUUGGCUUAGAAGCAGCCAUCAUUUAAAGAAAGCGUAAUAGCUCACUGGUCGAGUCGGCCUGCGCGGAAGAUGUAACGGGGCUAAACCAUGCACCGAAGCUGCGGCAGCGACGCUUAUGCGUUCGUUGGGUAGGGGAGCGUUCUGUAAGCCUGUGAAGGUGGCCUGUGAGGGUUGCUGGAGGUAUCAGAAGUGCGAAUGCUGACAUAAGUAACGAUAAAGCGGGUGAAAAGCCCGCUCGCCGGAAGACCAAGGGUUCCUGUCCAACGUUAAUCGGGGCAGGGUGAGUCGACCCCUAAGGCGAGGCCGAAAGGCGUAGUCGAUGGGAAACGGGUUAAUAUUCCCGUACUUGGUGUUACUGCGAAGGGGGGACGGAGAAGGCUAUGUUGGCCGGGCGACGGUUGUCCCGGUUUAAGCGUGUAGGUGUGUGUUCCAGGUAAAUCCGGUUCACUUUAACACUGAGGCGUGAUGACGAGGCACUACGGUGCUGAAGCAACAAAUGCC